AAGGAAACCGGAACGUUCUUUUACAGGGGAGAAGAAGCCGGGAGGGGUGUUAAACAGAAGUUCCGGUACUGGACCGGAGGCUUCCCGGCGCGGCGGCUGCUCAUUGGCUGCCGCUCCGGAAGUUGCUCACUGUUGCCAGGUGGAGAGGAAGUCUCCCUUGCUGCCGCUGCGGCCGCACGGUGCAGCCAGGGGCCCUGCAUGCGCGCUUUCCCUGCGUGGCUUCCCGACGUCGCUUUGCAUGAGGUUUCCUUUAUUCACUUUCUCAGAUAGAAGGUGGAAUGAAGACUUCGCCUGCGUGAUCGAGGGAAACUCUGGUUGGUCUGUUGCCCGGGCCAGCCACCCGUGCCGGGGUCUGGAGGGCCUCCUUCUGUUGCGAGGGGAAGAUACAAGGCAAAUAAUGUUGAAAGCACCUGUAAAUCCAUCCAGGCUAAUAACGUAUUAACUGGUAGGAGCUGAGAGGUUUACACAACCUCUGAAGCACGAGACUAAAGACGCAAUUGAAAUAGCAUAAGGCAGGGAAGUGCUAUUCAAGUCAGGAGAAGUGUUCCGAAUCUCCACCACGGGAUUUUGUAGGAGGAACAAGCCCCUUCUUCUGCGGUUCAUCAGGAUAAUCUAACGCCAGGGGAAACCUGCAAGAAGGGGAAAACAGCAAGGAAGCAAGGGAAACAUCGACUGUACUUUGGAUUCAUGAGCCUUGAUAUUCUUGAUGCCACCUCAGGAGCCAGGAUACCACUCAGCAACAUACAGUGUAAACAGUACGUAAAAAAUCGGUCUCGGCGCCCAGCGCUCACUGUGGCAUCUCGCUGACUCUCAAGGAUUUGUGUUUCUUCCGGCUGAAAAGAGCCUGAACUUUGUUGUUUUAUUGACCUCAACAAAUGGCCAGCAAAUUCCCUAGCAGGACGGGUUCAUUCGGGAACAACAAAGAAUUGCAGUUUUCACACCCAGGAAAGCAAAAGAGGGCGACGCUCUUUUAUAGACGGGGGCCGGGCGCUUGUAAACCAAGAGUCCAUUGGAGGAGCCUGAAGACCGGAAGUAUAGUGGCUUCCCAUUGGCUGAGUUGUGGCAGUCUCCCAUUGGCUGAGCUGUUACCGAGCAACGAGGAAUCUGUGCUUCCUGCAUCCCUUCCAGUUAGAGGCUCAAGGUCUGGCUGUUGCUCUUGGGGACAAUCUGCAGUAUGACAGCCGGGCUCCGCUCAUCUCUCCGAACAGUGAGAAGACAAGUCAGGCAAGAGUCAGGCGAAGGCAGCAAAGCCAAAAAACUACAAUGGAUAGUGACUGUUACGGAGACAGUG